rnacentral:rRNA from 1 species
GAUGAACGCUAGCUACAGGCUUAACACAUGCAAGCCGAGGGGUAACGAGAGGAAAGCUUGCUUUCCUUGUCGACGACCGGCGCACAGGUGGGUAACGCGUAUCCAACCUGCCCCCAACUAGGGAAUAACCUUGCGAAAGUAAGACUAAUACCCUAUAAUUUCCUCAGAUGUCAUCUGACGAGGAAUAAAGAUUUAUCGGUUGUGGAUGGGGAUGCGUCUGAUUAGCUUGUUGGCGGGGUAACGGCCCACCAAGGCAACGAUCAGUAGGGGUUCUGAGAGGAAGGUCCCCCGCAUUGGGACUGAGACGCGGUCCAGACUCCUACGGGAGGCAGCAGUGAGGAAUAUUGGUCAAUGGGCGGAAGCCUGAACCAGCCAAGUAGCGUGCAGGAUGACGGCCCUAUGGGUUGUAAACUGCUUUUAUACAGGAAUAAAGUUAGCCACGUGUGGUUAUUUGUAGGUACUGUAUGAAUAAGGACCGGCUAAUUCCGUGCCAGCCGCCGCAGUAA